GGAUCAAGCACUACAACAGCAAGCACUACUCCAGCGCCUACUACAACUGGAUCAAGCACUACAACAGCAAGCACUACUCCAGCGCUUACUACAACGGAUGCAAGUACUACAACAACAACUCCUUCAGCUGACUCCACUACUGGUAAAGCGCGGCGUAAAAGGCAAACUGAUGGGGCUAUAAAUGAAGCAGUACAGAGACUACUAAACCAAAAUAUGGAUUGUGCUAUUGAGAUGUGUACCGAUAAACAAACAAAAAUGUUUUCACCAAAUCCAAAAACCAUCAACUGCACUCUUUUAGAAGAGUAUGGAUCGUGUCUUGUGCAGUCGUGCCCAUUGGUGUCUAAUGACGUGCAAACUACCAAAGACCAGUGUGGUGAAGCCAGCAGAGUACUCCUCUCCUCCACUGUUCUUCUGGUUGGGAUUCUCCUCAGAAUUUUGGCCUGAACAAAUUUUGACUGUUGAAUAAAUCCGUCCUACUCUUGUUCUGCUAUUUUCGGUAAAUGACUCAACUGUCUACACAAAGAAAUAUUUCUUGAUUUGAACUUACUUUUUAUUUAAUUUUUAAAUUUCAAAAACGUUAGAAAUCUCAUCAUUGAUGCGAACGAAUUUUAAAGUCUUGGUUAUUUUUUUGCCAUCAAAGUUUUGUUUAUAUUUGUUGUAUUGAUUUGAAAUGAUCUUUUAGUGUAAAAUUGUUGAUGAAUACCGAGCUCGUAGUAUGAAAAGAUCUGAAUUUUUUUAAACAUUAUUCACCUAUACAUACGGUAAUAUUUAUUAUACAUAUAUCAGUAUAUCAAGACAACUUUGAAUAUUUUAAUUUAAAAACAAAUUAUUUAAUAGGCUAAAAUUUUAUGUUUCGGGUAAUAAUUUAUAGAGUUAAUAUUAAUUAUUUUUAACAGAACAAUGUUAUUGUCAACAACAUUCCAAAUUUUGUAAUUGAUGUAUUAUAUUACAUUCUUGAAUUAUUUAAGACAAACUGUGAUAUUUUAAAAUAUUUUUUAAACGCUUAAAAUUACUUUUUUGUACAAAUAUUAAAUUUUAUUUAAUAAAAUAUAUUAUUCUUGC